rnacentral:rRNA from 1 species
AUUGAACGCUGGCGGCAUGCCUUACACAUGCAAGUCGAACGGUAACGGGCCUUCGGGUGCCGACGAGUGGCGAACGGGUGAGUAAUACAUCGGAACGUGCCCGAUCGUGGGGGAUAACGAGGCGAAAGCUUUGCUAAUACCGCACACGAUCUACGGAUGAAAGCAGGGGACCGCAAGGCCUUGCGCGGACGGAGCGGCCGAUGGCAGAUUAGGUAGUUGGUGGGAUAAAAGCUUACCAAGCCGACGAUCUGUAGCUGGUCUGAGAGGAUGAUCAGCCACACUGGAACUGAGACACGGCCCAGACUCCUACGGGAGGCAGCAGUGGGGAAUUUUGGACAAUGGGCGCAAGCCUGAUCCAGCCAUGCCGCGUGCAGGAUGAAGGCCUUCGGGUUGUAAACUGCUUUUGUACGGAACGAAAAGCCUUCUUUUAAUACAGGAGGGUCAUGACGGUACCGUAAGAAUAAGCACCGGCUAACUACGUG